AAAAAAUUUUAUCUUUUAUCACUCACAGUUUGGUAUGCAUGUAUGUAUGCUUACAGUACUCCCUCGCUGAAAGGCCUUUCGCUGGGGUUUUGAAGAAGCUGUGGAAUAUAUUAAUUAUGGUUCCCUGUUGGCUUUGGCCGACUGCACGUUAUAGUUCAAUAUUUUUUUUUCUUUUACAAACUUCUUUUUCCUUUCUUUCUUCUUUCACUAAUGUCACAUAAUUAAGGGGGGAAUUAAAGGUCGUUAAAUCAAAUAGAAUAUAAUAAUAGAAAAGAGUAUUAGCAUUAACAAAAUUUAAAUUUAAUUAAUUAUUCAAAUAAAAGACAGUGCUUUAGGCUUUGAUUGCAGCCUAAGAUAUAAUGGUGGCCCUCUUAGCGGUACGACACUGUCGGCUGUGGCGCCUGCGCAGAGGUUACUGCAAGGUUACGUCAUGGUCAUUGUGAAGUUACAUCAUGGCUAUGGUGUUACAUAGGUUCUGGAGCCGGGCUUCCACCGGUCUCCCAAGAAAAAUUCCCCACCCCUCAGCGUAUUGCCAACAAAACGUCAAUGCGCUGCUGCUCUGGCUGAGUGUGGGGGGAAAGCGUAGCGAAGCCCAAUCUUUCCGGGAUUUCCGUGGAUAAUUAUAUUUGUCUUCGGUCGUGGAUGGCGUGGAUUGAACGCCAGUCCAAAAAGUUUGGGAUUGCGUGGAUUGCACGCUCGCCCAAAAACGUUGGGAUGGCUCUAGGCCAGGUGAAAUUUAAAUUCACUGAUAUUUAUAUUCACUGCACGGCGUUCGGUUUUUAACUUUUUACUUUUUCACACACACGUGGUUGGUCGAAAAAUUAACUCACUAUCGGACGGGUCACGAACCGAUCAGAAUUUUAGAUAGACGAAAAGAAGAAUUUUUCUGGGGGCUCGUCCCGUUUAAAUGCGAUCGGAAGUGCUAAAACCGUGUUCUAAAAGCUUAUGUUGACAGCUGUCAUCAACGAAAGCUUCACCCAAUCAGCUGAUUUAACAGCUAAGCUUUGCUGAGCUAAGCUUUGAUUCUGUCAGCAUAAUUUAUCUAACUUUAUCGCAUGCGAUAAUAUCAUUCGCUGCUUGUAAUUAUUUUGUGUUCAGCUGCAACUCCCAGCGCCACUACAAUUCUUAUCUGAUGGAGAGAAUAGCACCGCAGACAGACUGUGUCAAGUUGUCGUAC
rnacentral:lncRNA from 1 species